rnacentral:rRNA from 1 species
GCACGGAGUUAGCCGGUGCUUUUUCUGCAGGUACAGUCAAGUUUCCCUUCUUCCCUGCUAAAAGAACUUUACGACCCGAAGGCCUUCAUCAUUCACGCGGCAUUGCUGGAUCAGGGUUUCCCCCAUUGUCCAAUAUUCCCAA